rnacentral:rRNA from 1 species
CUUGCUUGGUGGAUCAGUGGCGAACGGGUGAGUAACACGUGAGCAACCUGCCCUGGACUCUGGGAUAAGCGCUGGAAACGGCGUCUAAUACUGGAUAUGAGACGUGAUCGCAUGGUCGUGUUUGGAAAGAUUUUUCGGUCUGGGAUGGGCUCGCGGCCUAUCAGCUUGUUGGUGAGGUAAUGGCUCACCAAGGCGUCGACGGGUAGCCGGCCUGAGAGGGUGACCGGCCACACUGGGACUGAGACACGGCCCAGACUCCUACGGGAGGCAGCAGUGGGGAAUAUUGCACAAUGGGCGGAAGCCUGAUGCAGCAACGCCGCGUGAGGGAUGACGGCCUUCGGGUUGUAAACCUCUUUUAGCAGGGAAGAAGCGAAAGUGACGGUACCUGCAGAAAAAGCGCCGGCUAACUACGUGCCAGCAGCCGCGGUAAUACGUAGGGCGCAAGCGUUAUCCGGAAUUAUUGGGCGUAAAGAGCUCGUAGGCGGUUUGUCGCGUCUGCUGUGAAAUCCCGAGGCUCAACCUCGGGCCUGCAGUGGGUACGGGCAGACUAGAGUGCGGUAGGGGAGAUUGGAAUUCCUGGUGUAGCGGUGGAAUGCGCAGAUAUCAGGAGGAACACCGAUGGCGAAGGCAGAUCUCUGGGCCGUAACUGACGCUGAGGAGCGAAAGGGUGGGGAGCAAACAGGCUUAGAUACCCUGGUAGUCCACCCCGUAAACGUUGGGAACUAGUUGUGGGGACCAUUCCACGGUUUCCGUGACGCAGCUAACGCAUUAAGUUCCCCGCCUGGGGAGUACGGCCGCAAGGCUAAAAACUCAAAGGAAUUGACGGGGACCCGC